UCCCAGGUGACUCAGUGGUAAAGGAUCUGCCUGCCAAGCAGGAGAUGCGGGUUCAAUCCCUGGGUUGAGAA
rnacentral:tRNA from 1 species